GUUGAAACACCGGUUCCUGUACGAUCACUGAAGUUAAGCAACGUCAAGCUCGGUCAGUACCUGAAUGGGUGACCUAUUGGGAAUAUCAGGGGGUGUC